UUAGAAGCCAGCAUGUCAAGGGUGGUGCUGAGGAUUGAGUGGUGUUAAUAAUAUAAACCAGCUUUUUGGCUCAGACCUUUUCCUCUGAAGACACCUGCUUCCUGUGCAAAAUACUGAGGGCCCAGCCUAGGUGUUGAGGUUGUUGGCUUUGCUGCUCCAUCAGACUUCGGGGAGCUGCUUGUACAGUGAAGUAUUCAGUUGUGCCUGCAGUCUCCAGAGGAACACACAGCUAAGGAAGAGGAAGACCUGUGAGGAUGACAAGCUGAGGGAUGUCCAAGUGUUCAGGAAAAGAGAAUGUGGGCCUGGACCAUCCUUAUGGCCUCCGCAUAGAGAGUGCCACCUGGGAGGGCUUGCGGAGGAGGAUCCUGAUCAUGGUGUGAAGAGCAGAAGGUGGCUGCUGUCAGAUACGGGAGCAGUGCCUAAGGAAAGGGCCCAAGGGGUGUUUUACGAGAGGGUGCAAAGAGGAGCAGGGCUCCUGCCAGAGAGCACUUUGGGGAUGAAGGAGACACCAGAGACAAGGCUCAAUCUGAGGCUACUCAGGUACUGAAGAGCAGGUACCUUUAGCCCUCACAAAGGAUAUUUUCCUGAGCUGCCAUGACUUCUGGUUGCCUGCUGUGAGAAACUGGUACCAGCCAGCUCACUUAAGCUGAUGAAAAAGUCUGAGUUAGAGUGUAUCAUCUGUGUAGAAUACGAGACAUCACCUCAACAAGUAUUACCAUCUGUCAGUUCUAGAUGCGCUUCCACAUGGAGAUUCAUGAAGCUCAUACCUUCUGGCAGUACUGUAGUCUUGGCCUUCAUGGAAGUUUCUAGGAGGUCACAGCCUUCCCUCCAGACUUAUCUUGUGAUGCACAUUGACCAGAUACACGUCUAGCAUUGAUACACAUGUGCAAUGGUUGGUGGAUGUCUAGAGACGUAUCUUCAGGCUGUGCCAGUGCUGCUGGUAUUGUAUAUUAUUAAUCUGAUAAUAAUAGAGCUGGAAGAAGGUAAAACAUAUGAGAAAUUAACUUGUGACUUUUGUUGCAAAUUGAAAGAAUUGCCCCCAAAGAGUCCUUGUUUUGAAGAAAACUGAACACUGCUUAACCUUUUGCUGCCAGUCCCUGCUGAAAUCAAGAUUAGAACAUCUGUUCUGUCCUGCCUCUAGUUGGAAAUUCUGGACAAUGGAACAACCAGAUACAUUCAUGUAUACUAAACAUUAAAGACUGAUUUACAC
ensembl:lncRNA